rnacentral:tRNA from 3 species
GAUCUCGUAGCUCAGCUGGGAGAGCGCUACCCUGACACGGUAGAGGUCGCUGGUUCAAGUCCAGUCGGGAUCACCA